ACUCCUACGGGAGGCAGCAGUGGGGAAUAUUGCACAAUGGGGGAAAGCCCUCGAUGCAGCCAUGCCGCGUGUGUGAAGAAGGCCUUCGGGUUGUAAAGCACUUUCAGUUGUGAGGAAAGGUUAGUCGCUAAUAUCGGCUAGCUGUGACGUUAGCAACAGAAGAAGCACCGGCUAACUCCGUGCCAGCAGCCGCGGUAAUACGGAGGGUGCGAGCGUUAAUCGGAAUUACUGGGCGUAAAGCGCAUGCAGGUGGUUUGUUAAGUCAGAUGUGAAAGCCCGGGGCUCAACCUCGGAAUUGCAUUUGAAACUGGCAAACUAGAGUACUGUAGAGGGGGU
rnacentral:rRNA from 1 species